CCUACGGGCGGCAGCAGUGGGGAAUAUUGGACAAUGGGGGGAACCCUGAUCCAGCGACGCCGCGUGAGUGAAGAAGUAUUUCGGUAUGUAAAGCUCUAUCAGCAGGGAAGAAAGAAAUGACGGUACCUGACUAAGAAGCCCCGGCUAACUACGUGCCAGCAGCCGCGGUAAUACGUAGGGGGCAAGCGUUAUCCGGAUUUACUGGGUGUAAAGGGAGCGUAGACGGCGAUGCAAGUCUGAAGUGAAAGGCGGGGGCUCAACCCCCGGACUGCUCUGGAAACUGCCAGGCUGGAGUGCAGGAGAGGUAAGUGGAAUUCCUAGUGUAGCGGUGAAAUGCGUAGAUAUUAGGAGGAACACCAGUGGCGAAGGCGGCUUACUGGACUGUAACUGACGUUGAGGCUCGAAAGCGUGGGGAGCAAACAGGAUUAGAUACCCCGGUAGUC
rnacentral:rRNA from 1 species